rnacentral:rRNA from 1 species
CCUUCGCCGGGAGAGUAAAGCGGCGCACGGGUGAGUAACGCGUGGGUAAUCUACCCUAAAGUCGGGAAUAACCCGCCGAAAGGCGAGCUAAUGCCGAUAUGUCCUGGGGUUAAAGGCGGGGACCGUUCGGGGCCUAUCGCUGAGAGAACCCGGUCCAUCAGCUGCUGUAGGUAGGUCACCAAGGCAAGACGGGUAGCUGUCUGAGAGGACGAUCAGUCACACUGGCACUGAGAUACGGGCCAGACUCCUACGGGAGGCAGCAGUGGGGAAUAUUGCGCAAUGGGCGAAAGCCUGACGCAGCGACGCCGCGUGAGGGAAGAAGGCCUUCGGGUGUAAACCUCUGUCAGGGGGGAAGAAGUUCCUGUUAGCUAAUACCUAACAGGAUUGACGGUACCCCCAGAGGAAGCAUCGGCUAACUACGUGCCAGCAGCCGCGGUAAUACGUAGGAUGCAAGCGUUGCUCGGAAUCACUGGGCGUAAAGAGCGCGUAGGUGGUAUGGUAGGUCAGGGGUGAAAGCCCUCGGCUCAGCCGAGGAAUUGCCCUUGAAACUGCCUGCUUGAGUACUGGAGAGGGAGGUAGAAUUCCUGGUGUAGCGGUGAAAUGCGUAGAUAUCAGGAAGAAUACCGGUGGCGAAGGCGGCCUCCUGGCCAGAUACUGACACUGAGGCGCGAAAGCGUGGGGAGCAAACAGGAUUGAUCCCUGGUAGUCACGCCCUAACGAUAUAAGGGGGGAAAUGUAAGGUCUCCGUGCCGAAGCAACGCAUUAAGUGCCCACCUGGGAAGUACGGCCGCAAGGUUGAAACUCAAAGGAAUUGACGGGGGCCCGCACAAGCGGUGGAGCAUGUGGUUUAAUUCGACGCAACGCGAAGAACCUUACCUGGGCUUGACAUCCGGAGAAUCCCCUGGAAACAGGGGAGUGCCCUUCGGGGACUCCGUGACAGGUGCUGCACGGCUGUCGUCAGCUCGUGCCGUGAGGUGUUGGGUUAAGUCCCGC